UACGACCACAUCAAGUUGAAACACUAGUUCUCGUAUGAUCUCCGAAGUUAAGUAACGUCGUGCUUGGUCAGUUCCUAGAUUGGUAACCGCUUUGAAAUACCAGGUAUUGUAAG